CCUACGGGCGGCAGCAGUGGGGAAUAUUGCACAAUGGGGGGAACCCUGAUGCAGCGACGCCGCGUGGGGGAGGACGUACUUCGGUAUGUAAAGCCCUAUCAGCAGGGAAGAAAAUGACGGUUCCUGACCAAGAAGCCCCGGCUAACUACGUGCCAGCAGCCGCGGUAAUACGUAGGGGGCACGCGUUAUCCGGAUUUACUGGGUGGAAAGGGAGCGUAGACGGGGUGCCAAGUCCGACGUGAAAGGCCGGGGCUAAACCCCUGGACUGCAUUUGAAACUGGGAUGCUGGAGUGCCGGAGGGGCAAGCGGAAUUACUGGUGUAGCGGUGAAAUGCGUAGAUAUUAGGAGGAACACCGGUGGCGAAGGCGGCUUGCUGGACGGUAACUGACGUUGAGGCUCGAAAGCGUGGGGAGCAAACAGGAUUAGAUACCCCUGUAGUC
rnacentral:rRNA from 1 species